UACGUAGGGGGCAAGCGUUGUCCGGAAUCAUUGGGCGUAAAGAGCGUGUAGGCGGCUUGGUAAGUCCGCUGUGAAAGUCCAGGGCUCAACCCUGGAAAGCCGGUGGAAACUGUCAAGCUUGAGUCCGGAAGAGGCGAGUGGAAUUCCUGGUGUAGCGGUGAAAUGCGCAGAUAUCAGGAGGAACACCAAUGGCGAAGGCAGGUCUCUGGGCAUUAACUGACGCUGAGGAGCGAAAGCAUGGGGAGCGAACAGG
rnacentral:rRNA from 1 species